rnacentral:rRNA from 1 species
CCUACGGGAGGCAGCAGUGGGGGAUAUUGCACAAUGGGGGAAACCCUGAUGCAGCGACGCCGCGUGGGUGAAGAAGCGCCUCGGCGCGUAAAGCCCUGUCAGCAGGGAAGAAAAUGACGGUACCGGAAGAAGAAGCCCCGGCUAACUACGGGCCAGCAGCCGCGGUAAUACGUAGGGGGCAAGCGUUAUCCGGAUUAACUGGGUGUAAAGGGGGAGGAGACGGCGAUGCAGGCCAGGAGUGAAAGCCCGGGGCCCAACCCCGGGACUGCUCUUGGAACUGCGUGGCUAGAGUGCAGGAGGGGCAGGCGGAAUUCCUGGUGUAGCGGUGAAAUGCGUAGAUAUCAGGAGGAACACCGGUGGCGAAGGCGGCCUGCUGGACUGCAACUGACGUUGAGGCCCGAAAGCGUGGGGAGCAAACAGGAUUAGAUACCCCUGUAGUC